GGGUGGGGGUGGGUUGGCAGUUGGACUAAGUGAUCUUAGAGGCCUUUUCCAAACUUAAUGAUUUUGUGAUUCUCUGAUAAGCUUGUGUUACCGCUCUUGCUUUGUCCCUGAGGAGACCGAUGGGAAACAAGACUCCGCAAAGAUGCGUGCAGCUGUGUGAGCGUCAGAGUUGAGAGCAGCAAUGUGUGUCGCUCCGAAACGUCGCUCCGAAAGUAAUGCCUCCCAUUUAUUCCUGUGAAAACUACAGCCGCUAGGAAGAGCGCAAUAACACAAUUUGAUAGAGAAAACUCUCAGCUAUGAAACAUUCUUUUUUUUUUUACAUAGUCACCACCAUUUGGUAUGCAUUUUUACCAGCAGUGAACAAGAGCUUGCAUGCUGUGCUCAUAAAAACCUUGCACUGUCAUCACUACUGAAAUGCACCACCCACUGCCUCACUAUGUUCACAUCCACUGUUUGGUCUCCAUAAACAUUCAGCAAGCCUCAGUGAAUGUCAGUGGGUGCCAUUUUUUCCACGUAGAGAAAGUCAGUUCUAUACCUUUACUUUAUAUGCAUUUCCAUGCCAGACACCAUUGUGUCAGACUGCCUCUCAGCUGCCAUCUGUCACAUGACAACAAAAUGUAACAGAAUAUUGGCAAUAUGGUUCAACCUUUACUGCCAUACCACCAACAUCCACCUCUAAUGUUGUGGGCCAACAUAAUAAAUUAGGAGGCAUUGCUUUUGGAGCAGUCCUCAAAUAGUAUAGCUAAUGUAUGAAGUAGCAAAACUUUUUUUUUUGUUGUCUUCUUUAGUGAAACAUAAAAAAGAGAGUAACAAAACCAUAAAACUACUGGGAUAUGUGACCUUGUUUUUGUGAAACUAAUGCCUCAAUCUGGUUCAGAGAUGGUGGUUGCAAUUCUUAGUUAGCUCUCAAGGUGUCCGUCAGAGGUUUUUAUGACAUUUUACUCUUCCUGUGCUUCAUCCUUAAAAGUAGUUGUUCACAAAUGUAUGUACUGCCAAAAAGCAAUGACAUGAAUAAGGUGUGAUUGUGAACCUUUUCCUGACCCUCCGCUGACACAGCUCAUAUUCCUUUGGUCCCACUGCUGUUACCAGAGAGAAGAGCUCAGAACAGCCCUUCUGCUUCCCUCAUGAGGAAGCUGUAGGCCCACCACGAGGUCUCCCCUCAGUAUCGUCUUCUCUUGACUAAACAAAGCAAGCAACCUCGGCAGCUCUUCAUACCACUUGCCCUCCAGAUCCCUCAUCACUGAAUGUUGCUGGUUUACUAAUGUAGAUUUCCUAUGGAAGAAAUCUGGAAGAAUCCCAUCUGAAGAAUCCUUUUAGGAUCAGGACUUGAUAGAAGGUCUGUAUUAAAGAAGAGUGCUUGUAGAAGAGGUUAUGAUGGAGAUGAGCAGAGUGAACCUUGAAAGUAACCAACUAACUGGUCCUGUGGCUCUCAUUAACCUCAGAAAUUAAGGAGCUUAAUUGUGUAAGGAAGGAAAACAGCUCAUCUCUUGACAUGAGUGCAAUAGAGCAUUCCAGUUCUUGGUACCUCCAUGGCCUUCAAGUUGCUUCAUUCCUGCUUAACUACCAGUUCAACUCUGCCUGUUUCUGGCAGACUACUUUACCUCUUGACACAGGUCCGAAGGUGAUGGCAUCCUCAAGGUGUAACCCAGUGGUGUUGUCUAAUGCAGCUAGGUGUAUGACCAACACAAGGCUCACCAUUUCACUUGAGAAACAUGUUCAGAAAAAGAGGAAGAGGAGGAAGUGGUGUUGAGUUUGUCUUAACUCCAGAUCAAGCUCUGAUGGCAAGGGUUUAACCAAGCUUGAAAAUGGCAACCUGACCCCUGGAAUCCCCUUCAGCAGGCAGUGACACAGGAGAAAGCAAGGACGUGAAGGUGCAGCCCCAGUAGCAGUGCACAAGGAAGUAAUGGGACUGUGGUGGUAGUGGAAGAUACUCCCACAGCUGAGAAUAUGCUGCUUUCAGCCAUCAGGAUCACCACUACCGCCACAGACAGUUCAGAGAAGAAAAUGCAGACAAGCCAUUUGCUACUGAUUCCACCAAUCUUCUCAUUCAGUGGAAUGGUCUGAUGAGAAAGGAAGUGCACAAGCUCCACCUAAAAGACCCAGCAUGUGGCUGUAGCCUCACCAAGCCCUAUUGUUGACCCACAGACAUUCUCUCCUUGGUCCCCCUUUGAGGACAGUGGCAUCAACCCCUAGAGUGUGUCAUGGUGCUACUUGGCAGAGCCCAUAUCUGCAGCCAGGAUAUAUCCCCAUCCUGCAUCUGUGGCCUCCAGAUUGUCAAUUCACCCCAUCAAAAAUAUACAUAUGGAAAUCAAAGGCCACAGCCAAAGGUUCUUACCUUGUCUCUCAAAGAGGCAAAGAAGUACAGUUUUCUCAGUGGUGCUGAAGAAAUGUUACCAGACCUGGGGAAGAAAGGGAAUUUGGUUGUUAGAACAUCUUUGUCACUUUCAGUAUAUGGGGAAUUUUUAAAUCUUACUCCCCAUCUCAUAUUAUUAUGUCUUAUUCUCCACCUUAUCUAUUUAAAAAAAAAAUCAACUAUUAACUGGAAAGAAACACACACAUACACAAACAAACAAACAACAACAAGAAAAACACAGAAGAGACACUAGAUACUAACAUGGAAGCCGUGGCUUUGGUCUGCCAAUUAGCUCUACUCCUGAGCCUCUUCCCUGUGCUGGCCAAAGGAGUUCUCUGAGCCUGCCAUUAUAUGCUGUGUGUCCCAGCCUUGAAUGAUUCCCUUGUGGAAGAAGGAAGAGGGUCAAGGAGGCAGAGGACCCUUUUCUUGGUGAUGGCUCCUCUAUGCCUUUUUGCUUGCCAGAGAGAAAGACUGCCCCCUGGGCACAGGGGCUGCCUUCUACCUCCCAUCCUGUGCCCUGUCUUCCAGCCCCUUUUUACCCCAUGCCGAAACCACUCCCACCAUCACGGUGGCCAUCACAGAAUCUUACUGGUGUCACAGUAGUCACCACUGCCCCAUCCCACUCAUUCAGCUCCAAGACCUAUGGUGGUAAACAACCAUAGCUGAUACCAAGAGCCUGGUGGUUACCAGCACCAAUCAGGAGCACUGAUUGCCCAGUUUUACAUGGGAAGAAAGAGAUUGGGUUCCCAGAACCGAAGAGGUGGUGAGACUCAACAAAGCAGAACAAAUGGAAGAGGAAGAGCACCUGUGCCCAUAGGGCAAUGGCCUGGCCUGGGGCUACUGUUUUGCAGCCCAUGGAGAUAGAUAAACUCCAGAUGAAGAACCAAUGGAGGUGGAUUGACCUCCACUACAGCUGGCUUGGCAUAUCGUUGUGCCAGAGUGAGGUUACAGCAGUGGCACUGAGGGUCCAGGUACUCAGCUCCUUACCCGCUCUGCAGCCUCUGUGCCCAGAAUUAGCUGGGAGACCAUCGUUAACAUCCAGUGGGCUUGCGUGCAGGAUAGCCUCCUUUCCCAUCCCCUGUCCUUGCCCCUUGUGAAGAGACAGCAUCUCUUCUGCAUGGAUUCCCAAGGAAGCAGGCAAACGUGAACUUGGCUUGUUUUUGGCUGCUUCACUGUGUCUACAGGAGGACCCCCUCAGAGAGCUCCUGUGGAUCUUGAGUCCUAGAGGUGGGGUGUCUCAGCCUGAAGAUGAGAAUGCUACCCAGCAAGUGCUGGAAGGUGAAGCCAGACCUUCCAUGGUGGUGCACAAAGAACAGCAGCAGGUCAAUGAAAAAAGAGAGAGCUAUUCCUUUGAAGCUAAUGAAAACACGGUCCCUACGAGGGUGCCCAAACAGAAAAGGUAUCCAAAGGGGUUUCAGAUUCUGUCCAUGGAGGCAUCUGAACCUAAAAGAACAAAACAGGAUGUUCCUAGACAUCACUGUCUCCUUCGUGUGCCUUAGUGCCAUCUUCUGGCAGAUUCCUUGGAAGGCCAAGAGCUGCUCCUUGGAAAUCCAUCUGCAGGCUCCCAGUCUGGUGCUACUAAUGAUUCUUACAAUCAGACUAGAGAGCUCUUCCUCCAAAUGAGGGAACAAGAAGCCACAAAUGCGGUGGCUGGUGUUCAUGUGACCAGUGGUGUGCAGGUCAUGAAUAUGGAUCCGACAGAGAACAACAGCAUUAGGCCCAAGCAUGUCUGUUGCCCAGAGAAAAGCAUGUGGCUAAGGCACACCAAUCAUCCAGUGAGUUGCAAGGGGCCCAGGUAAGUCCGUCCACCAGAGAAUGAGGAGUUUAUGGAGGUAGAUCCACAACAAGAUAGAGAACUGAUGGAAGUGGGUCUACCUGUGGGAUUCAUGAUCAUCCCCAGAGUGCCUUGUCUCUCUGAUACAAAAUCAGGGCAAUAGAACUGCAGGAGCACCAGGUCAGCUUGCUGUCUGCGUCAGUCUCUGUUCCCCUCAUUAACUUGGACACGACAAACAAUAUGGACAUCUUAAAGGCUCACGUGUCAGAUCACCCAGCAAUAAACCAUUCUUUUGAUGAUUGUU